GGAGGUGUAGCUGAGUGGAAAAGUGUGUACCUAGCAUGUUCAAGAUUCUGGGUUCCAUCUCUAGCACCACAA
rnacentral:tRNA from 1 species